UAGUUAGAGUUCUGGCCACCUUGAAUAACAAUGUUUUGCAUUAAAAAGACAAUUGCAUAACGAAAAGACAUACAGAAAUAUGUUUAGAGUUUGGAAUAACAAAACGCUUAACCCACGUCAUUGGUUAGAUAUGCCAAUAUUGCCAAUCAAAUUCAAUCAAUUGUCAAAUCUCUAGCGAUAAUAAACAAAUUGGCUAAAUAGUAUGCAGUGGAACAGUUAGUCAGGACAAGUGCGAUUAAUCAAUUUAUUUACUUGUUCUAUAAUAAGAGUUCAUAUUAUGCCGUUCUUGUGGCAGCGACCUGGCUUCCUCUGAAUCAAUAAUUUCAAAGACAAGCUCGAGAUCUUGGUACUCUUUCAAUGAUACUUUGUACUCUAAAGAGGUCUUAGUGCAAGUGUUCUCAACUAGUGUAUUCUUCCACUAUCCAGUGAUAUCCUUUAGCCUUUCGACUUGUGUACCUACUGGGGAGUGGGAAGAAAGUACUUCUUGGUUUCCUGGUUACCGCUGGAAACCCUGUGUGUGCCCAGACUGUGGAGCCUAUGUUGGAUUUGUCUUUGAACCUAUCAACCUUAGUUUAGAGAAACCAUCAAAAACAUUUUAUGGGCUCAUCAUGACAACUCUUAUCAGCGAAAGUUUCCUCAACUCUUUGACUGUGUACCCUGAAGGUACAUCUAACUAAAUAUGGCUGAAUCAUUGACAGCUGAAGAAUUAGAAUUCUUAGCUAAGUGUGAGGAAGAACUGAAAGAUAGAUUCACUGAGAAAGAUGAUGAUUUUAUGAAAGUGUACAAUGAAGAGUUGUCCAAGCCACCCAUACUUGACUCCUGGUGGAUUCCCAACUCUGGGCGCCGCUUCGACCGACGCAACAACAGGCGGCACCAUCCGUACGAGCGCCCCGACCACCGGGACCGUGGGUACGACAGGCGGGACGACAGGAGGGACCACAGGGGAUACAACGACUACCACGAAGACUCGGGGCAGGGAUACCGCCAACAACGACACAGAUAUCAUUAUUGACAACCAUGUUAGCAUCAAAUUUGUAUUAUAAUAAAAAAUAAAACAUUUUCUUUCUCAAAA